rnacentral:rRNA from 1 species
AUAACGGCGUCGAGCGGCGGACGGGUGAGUAAUGCCUAGGAAAUUGCCCUGAUGUGGGGGAUAACCAUUGGAAACGAUGGCUAAUACCGCAUGAUGCCUACGGGCCAAAGAGGGGGACCUUCGGGCCUCUCGCGUCAGGAUAUGCCUAGGUGGGAUUAGCUAGUUGGUGAGGUAAGGGCUCACCAAGGCGACGAUCCCUAGCUGGUCUGAGAGGAUGAUCAGCCACACUGGAACUGAGACACGGUCCAGACUCCUACGGGAGGCAGCAGUGGGGAAUAUUGCACAAUGGGCGCAAGCCUGAUGCAGCCAUGCCGCGUGUGUGAAGAAGGCCUUCGGGUUGUAAAGCACUUUCAGUCGUGAGGAAGGUAGUGUAGUUAAUAGCUGCAUUAUUUGACGUUAGCGACAGAAGAAGCACCGGCUAACUCCGUGCCAGCAGCCGCGGUAAUACGGAGGGUGCGAGCGUUAAUCGGAAUUACUGGGCGUAAAGCGCAUGCAGGUGGUUUGUUAAGUCAGAUGUGAAAGCCCGGGGCUCAACCUCGGAAUUGCAUUUGAAACUGGCAGACUAGAGUACUGUAGAGGGGGGUAGAAUUUCAGGUGUAGCGGUGAAAUGCGUAGAGAUCUGAAGGAAUACCGGUGGCGAAGGCGGCCCCCUGGACAGAUACUGACACUCAGAUGCGAAAGCGUGGGGAGCAAACAGGAUUAGAUACCCUGGUAGUCCACGCCGUAAACGAUGUCUACUUGGAGGUUGUGGCCUUGAGCCGUGGCUUUCGGAGCUAACGCGUUAAGUAGACCGCCUGGGGAGUACGGUCGCAAGAUUAAAACUCAAAUGAAUUGACGGGGGCCCGCACAAGCGGUGGAGCAUGUGGUUUAAUUCGAUGCAACGCGAAGAACCUUACCUACUCUUGACAUCCAGAGAACUUUCCAGAGAUGGAUUGGUGCCUUCGGGAACUCUGAGACAGGUGCUGCAUGGCUGUCGUCAGCUCGUGUUGUGAAAUGUUGGGUUAAGUCCCGCAACGAGCGCAACCCUUAUCCUUGUUUGCCAGCGAGUAAUGUCGGGAACUCCAGGGAGACUGCCGGUGAUAAACCGGAGGAAGGUGGGGACGACGUCAAGUCAUCAUGGCCCUUACGAGUAGGGCUACACACGUGCUACAAUGGCGCAUACAGAGGGCGGCCAACUUGCGAAAGUGAGCGAAUCCCAAAAAGUGCGUCGUAGUCCGGAUUGGAGUCUGCAACUCGACUCCAUGAAGUCGGAAUCGCUAGUAAUCGUGGAUCAGAAUGCCACGGUGAAUACGUUCCCGGGCCUUGUACACACCGCCCGUCACACCAUGGGA